GACGAACGCUGGCGGCGUGCUUAACACAUGCAAGUCGAACGGGUCUGCCCUGUUUUUUGCGGGGUGGGUCAGUGGCGAACGGGUGAGUAACACGUGAGUAACCUGCCCCUCACUUCUGGAUAACCGCUUGAAAGGGUGGCUAAUACGGGGUGUUCUGGCUGUGCCGCAUGGUGUGGCUGGGAAAGAUUCACUUUUGUGGUGUUUUGGUGGGGGAUGGGCUCGCGGCCUAUCAGCUUGUUGGUGGGGUGAUGGCCUGCCAAGGCUUUGACGGGUAGCCGGCCUGAGAGGGUGGGCGGUCACACGGGGACUGGGAUACGGCCCAGACUCCUGCGGGAGGCAGCAGUGGGGGGUAUUGCACAAUGGGCGGAAGCCUGAUGCAGCGACGUCGCGUGAGGGAUGGAGGCCUUCGGGUUGUGAACCUCUUUCGCCGGUGAAGAAGGUCCUGCUCUUUGUGGUGGGGUUGACGGUAGCCGGGUUAUGAAGCGCCGGCUAACUACGUG
rnacentral:rRNA from 1 species